GUUUCCAAGGCGCGAGUCAGAGUUGGCGAAGGAUCGCUUUCUUGGCUGUGACUUUUCCCGCGUGGAGUUGUCUCUCGCCAAAUACGGAUGUUUUUAGAGCGAUUUCUGGAGGAUCGUUAUGUAAUUCAGAAUUGCUGGCAGCAUAAGAUGAAAUCUGUCCUUCGUUGCCCGUGGCAGCCUCUGAGAUAUUGUAAGCAUGUUAUGAAAACCACUGAAGUAUGAUCUGUGAACAGGCAUUUCCAUUAAAACUAAUAGCAUCUUUGGAGAGUCGAAAAUUCGCUGUCUUCACGAAGCUCAACUUCCAGUAGAAAGAAGACAGUAAGAAACAUACUAAAUAAGUCUCAAGCCUUGAGGACUGAAGCUGAAGCAGACCCUUUGGGACAACAUAACUACGUAAAUCAACUGAACUGUCAUCCCCACCCUUGCAACAUCAAUCACCGUAGGAGACUUUCCCCUCUCUUAUGCCUACCCCAGGGUCUAGCGAGGUCCUAGUGUGGAUACAGGGAAGCCAGUUUCUCAAAUGACCAUUUCAAAGUCUGGAUCGGUGGCCCCAAUUUUUAAGUGCUUUCUGAAAGGCAGGCUUUGCUCAACCAACUGAGCCACCCCGGUGCCCCUCAUCCUUUCAAAUAUCAACCUAAAGUGCUUAUAUGUGUGGGUGGAAUCCACUCCUAACGAGAAACCACGGUUAUGAUAAAGAUGAGGAAAAGUAACAUUGCCAAACCUGUAAGGCCGCGUAGUAACGAAAUUAAAGGCAAGUGGGGUGAGGUGUGACGGUGGGGGAAGGGAUGGGUUCUUGUUUACUCGAUUUCAUCUCCAGUGAAAGAGAUCAGCCCAGGAUGAAUGAAUGUCCCUCUCACAGUGUUAUCAGCAUUAUAAUAGCAACGUCCGCUGACGUGCACACACUAGGAUACCAGCCUUACCUAUAUGGCUUCCUUGAAUCCAAACAGCCAGCCUAAGUGGUAAAUGCUUUUAUUAGCUCUAUUUUACAACUGAGGAAACUGGGCCUGACAGGAAGGUUAAGUAAAUUAUCCAAAGUUAGCACAGCUAGUAAGUAAUUGGUAGAGGGAGGAUCAGAACCUCGCUAUUCUAUCUACCAUACUGAAGAGCCUCAUUUCUUCAACUGGAAACCUGUUACCGAUCAUGGACUACGUUCCAGGGUUACUUCUAUGGCCUGCGCCUUUUUCAACCAGUAUGGAGGUGCUUUUAUAGGGCAUUCACAAAGACCUAAUGACCACACAAUCACCAGAGCUUAGUCACUGGGUCUCCAAAAGAUCCUUUCUCUUUCAAUGUUGCCACCGACAAACUGUGACACCGGAAAAUGUUUCUUCGAUGGGUACUUUUAAUCUUGAAGGGAAACUUCCUCCGUGCAAAAAUGUACAAAUUACAGACUCUUAUUGUCCAUACCCUAGACAAUACCUUCUUAUCUCGGGUAAAAUCUGCCAUGUGAGCAAAGGGAACUGAUUUUUAUCGUCAGGUGCCUGCCCCCAGUCUUUGGAUCAGAGUUUGCUUGCGUUUUCUCUCUGAGAUACAGAAAGUUAAGAGAGAACAGAUGUUCAUCUUAAGCUCUAAUUCGAUUUAGGCUUUAUUUUAGAAUCAAGUUUCAAGGAAACAAGUAGCUAAUAAGCUCUUCUUUACACAACACUUCAAGCUGUAUGGACAUAAAAUAAAAAAUAAAAAAUAAAAUAAAAUAAAAUAAUAAAAUAAAAUAAAAUAAAAUAAAAUAAAAUAAAAUAAAAUAAAAUAAAAUAAAACUUCUGUUCUGAACCUAAUUAGGAUAUAUAUUCAUACGUCAUUGUAAGAGAGCUAGGAAAUAUGGACCUUGAAGGAGAAGAAAGGUAGAGGCUAACAGAAAGAGAUCAGCAGGUAGGUAUGGGAAGCUUAUUCCAAGCAGAGAUAUCACAACUUUGAGCACAGGCUAGUAGACAAGAAACUGGAUAUGCUGGAUUUUGGACUAGAAGAUUAAUGUGGACAGAGCUUGGGCACAUGGAAGAAGGCAAGAAGAAAGACAUAGGCAGAGGCUAAGGCUGUCAAGGGGGUAAGAGCCAAAUUCUGUAAGACUCUGAAUACCAGACAGAAUAGGUAGAAUGUUAAAAAAAAAAAAAAAAAAAAAAAAAAAAAAAAAAAAAUCAAAGAAAGGUGGUGAAUGUCGAAUCAUAUGCUAAAAAAGAUGAAAGAAUAAAAAAGUGCUGGUGACAUGGAACUCUAUUUUAUUAAAAGACUGGCUUUCAACUAUUAGAACAGAGUCCAUUUUUAAUCUGUUUAAAACUUAUAAAGUGGUACCUAAAAUGGGUUAACAUUUUUCCUGAAAUCUAAGAAGAAAAUCCUUCAAGCAUGCAAAGAUAGAGGAAAUUCUGUCCUUCUUCUCCUUCCUUUGCUUUUGGACUUGGUUAACCACAGCUCCAUUUAAGAUGGAGCCAUUUAAGUUGGCCCUUCUGAAGUCUUCUAGGGGUAAAUACAAACUUCAGAACAUCACUGACCAUGACCUGACAUUCACUAUGCCUAAAAGUCAUGUAACAUUUUUCAUUUAACUGCCCACUGGUGAAAGCAAGCAUUCAGUCAGGAAGGAGAACAAGUUGUCUAUUUAUUUCAGUUCUUAGAUAUUCCAAAAACCCAGGGUUCUGGAGAGGGUGACUGGAGCCAUACUGUGCACCAACAACAGGAUCAGCCCAGGUCCAAGGUACUCAUGAACAAAUGACACUCCUUUCUAGACCACCAGAUUUCUCUUCAAACUCUGCCCUCCUCCUCCUCCUCCAAUUUGCAGGCACAGGAAUGUGCUAGGUGUUUGUUACAUAAUCAGCAAACAUUUACGGGCCCUAGCACCCCUGUCCGGCCCCAAUGCCAGUGAACAUAUUCUCUCACCCCAGAAGGCUCUGAGUAGACAGGGCACAUGAUGACACAUGACAUAACUCUCGGCCCAGGGCAUAUGACAAAACAGAUCAGCUUUCAAAUAUCAACACAGAGAGCAUGUUUCUUCUCCCCAUGUGGCCCUCAGUCCGGCAAGGUGAACAGACUGUGCAGAUCACAUGGCAGUUCACAUGAAAUUUUCAUUAUUCGCAGCUCAGGAAGUAUCAUUUCUGCUUCAGAGUCAGUAGUAGUUCUGGGUCUCCAGAAUCAUUCUCUCUCAUUUACUGCAGUCAUUUCCUCCUUGUAAAAUUAUUCUGUUCACAAUGUUAAAAUGUUAACGAUGUUAAAAUUCAAACAGGGAAUGAAUAGCUGUCACAGUCCUUCGUGGAGUGGUCCAAAAGACUGAGAAACAGAAGAGGUGAAGUUGGGUAAAAGUCAGUGAUACUUGCUGAAGGUAAGACAAUAUGAGAAAUUCAAAUGAAACCCUCAAUCCAGGAUCCAACACCGACUUUCAAUUCCCUGCUAAGCGUCCUUGAAAACGGAAAGGCAAAGCCAACAAACUGGACUGUGAAUAAUUAUAUCCUGCUCUGGCCUGUUAUGCAGGGACGGUGAGUUGCUACUCAAAAGAGGUGAUUACUAACCACAGGAAGAAGAGUAAACUUUAAAUGGAAGAAGUAUUUCACAGCAACUAGGGCAGGGAGGGGAAGGAAGGAAAAGUAGGCAUAGGAAAAAUAAUAAAUAGUUACUAAUAAAUGCUCACUCAUCUUUCACCCUUUGUAGUGUUCUAGAAAAGAAUACCAGGCUUCAGCUUUCAGGCUUGUGGUUGCAAAGCAAAACUAACAGCUGUGAACCAACAAUUCACCAUGCAAGACAAACUGUAAUUAAAUGCCAAUUAUGUGAUUCCAUCUCAGUAUCUGCUUUUAUCCCAGGAGGUAGGAUUUGGGGGCUGGGGGGCAGCAUGUCCCUGGACAACGUCUCACCUAAGUAAAAAUCAAAACAAAUUAAGGGGACGGAUAGUUGUUUGUCGUUCUGCCCUUAUUCGAGCACAUCCAAAAAGCCUCAGCUAAUUAAAAGUCAAAACAAAUUAAGGUGAUGGAUUUUUGUUUGCUGUCCUGCCCUUACUUGAGCACGUCCAUCCAGUCAAAGGUAAACAAAGUAAGGUAUGGGAAGGAGGAGGGUGCGGCUGGGAGAGGGAAGAUCCAUUCCGAAAGCAGGGGUUACUCCGCACCUGGUUCUCUACUUUCUUCUUUUUUAAAAACAAAGUUUGAGAGCGCGCGCGCCACGUGAGCAGGGGAGGGGCAGAGACGGAGAAUCCCAAGCAGGCUCCCGCCGUCAGGCCAGAGCCCCCGCACGGGGCUGAUCCCGCAAACACGAGAUCGUGAUCGCAGCCGAAAUCUAGAGUCUGAGGCUUCCCGAGGGAGCCUCUCAGGCACCCCAUGGUUCCCUACUUUCAUCAUUUACUAAACCUUUGUCCAAAGUACAACUGGCGGUUUCCACUUUUUUAUCCGAGUACCCCGCAGCGCCCCCUCCCGCCCCCAGCAGGAACUGCUGGACCAAUCUGAGCGGAGAGGAGCUGAACCACAGAGCAGCGUGAGGAGCACGCCGCCGGCAGCACACGCGUGCUGGGGCUCCCCACCCCGACACGAGCCAUGCCCCAUAAAUCCAACAGACGCCAGAAAAACGGCAUGGAGUAGCGCAGCGCCGGCCCCGAGCCUCCUGCCAGCUGCGGAAGGGCAAGAAACCCCUGCCCAGAAAGCCUCCGGGGAGCGAGAGCCGUUCCACUCGCUCUUUUCCUGAGCCGCCUCCCGAGCGCCGGCGGUCGGCCGCGCCGGCCCCCAGCCCGCCGCCGCGCCUACCUCCCUCUCCGUCAGGUUCUUGUCCGGCCCCAGCAGGUAAGGGGUCAGGAAGGGCUCGGACGGCCUGAGGCUGGCGAAGAAGCCGUAGGCGCACAGCAGCGCGGUGGGCAAGAACCAGCACUCGCGGGGCACGCGGGCCGUACGCAGGAGCGCGGUGGCCGCCGCCGCCCGUCGGGACACCGGGCCGGGCACAUCCAUUCGCGGUGCGGAGGGCGGGGACGCGGCCCGGCCCUUAGCUGUUCCCUUUCCGACGCCCGCCGCGGCGAUGCUCGAGCGCUGCCCCGGCGCGGGCACCUGGACCCGCCAGCGGCGCCCCUCGCCCUUCGCGGCGGAGCCAGGUCGCGCUCGCCGAACCGCGGCCUCCGCGGCCAGCACUCCAGUCCUCCGCGGCUGCAGACGCCUCACAUGUUGGCACCGGAGCCCCAAAGCGAGACCCGCCCCCGGGUCCGCCCCUCGCCGCCACCGCCCCCGGGCCUGGAGCCAAUCGCCGCGGAUGCCUGGAAUUGGACUCUUCUCCCAUUGGUGGUCGGCCCAGCAGAGGAGAAUCGGCGCGGGCUGAGCGCGAGUCCGCUGACGUCCCCCGACCUGCCCUGCUAGGGCAGAAAGUCAUGGAGGGCUGCGACUGGGAAAGCGUGCUUCUGGAGCCGGUGCGCGGCAGUGAGGCCGAGAGUAAUCGGAGCACGCUCGCGGGCGGCCUGGGGUUCCUCCCCGUGGGCCUAAUCCCCACGGAACGGAACGCGCUCCUCCACACACUCACUCUCUCCGGUUCUUAGUCCCAGUCCCUCUGGACGCGCGUUUAUUCAGACUCUCCUCACCGGAGACUCGGCCAAGAUUUAACCUUGGGGCGGGGUGGGAGGGAAUGCCAAACCUUUCCGCCUGCAGCUUUCGUGUUUUAAAUUGCAUUCGUCUGCCACAGACCCUAGAAGCCCGGGAUCUAAGCACUCGGGGCGUUUACCAAGACACCGAACGGAAGAAAGCGGGUAGAACAUUUAGACGAGGAACGAGCAAGUCACUUAAUAGAAGGACCGUAAUGGAGUCCUGAUGAAAGGGCUUUAGCUUUAUCUCGGUCCUCUUUGGAAGCAGGAUACAAAGAAAGCAAACGGAUCCGUAGCGAUAGCCUGUGUUUUAAAAGGAAAGUGGGAAAUCCUGAGUCACUAAAGCAAUCAAGAAAUAUCGAUCUCUUUAUUAAAAACAAACAGUCUUGGCAUAAUUUUCAAGGGCAAAGCAUGACAAGAAUACCCGGUGCUUUCUCUCAUCUCUCUCUGAGCCUCUUUCUGCUUGACUCAGCCUGAUUCUCUCCCGAUAACUUCCACCGCAGACGGAGCUGCACCAUUUAAAGCAUUCUUUUCCUGUGUGGUAUUUGCAAAGUAACAGAUCCUGCCAGAAGCUCACAGAGCGCAUUUUUGAACUCUAUUUUGCUUUAAUACAUGUUACUACACACGGAGCUCAAUUUCCUCCUGUGACAGCAAAGAACACUUUUUGCAACGAGAUACAUCAGCCACAAAAAUCAGUGGGGGAUGGGAUGACCUAACAGGAAAGGGAAAGAUUUGUUUUUAAGGCUGCACAAGUGAAUACACCAAAAUAUGUGAGUUGAUUAAUCGGAAGAAAUGCAGUUGGUGGUAUUUACAUCUGUCGGUGAGCCUCAAAGUGUGAUCCAAAAAGCCCUGGGAGUCCUUGGAACCUGUCAGAGUUCCAGAAGGUCAAACUUACUUUCAUAAUAAUACUAAGACUUUAUUUCCUUUUCCACUCUAGAGGCUACCUGAUAUGCGAUGAAUCAUCACUCCAAAAGCUAAGAGCAUGUGUGCUUGUACCGUUUUGUGUUUAUUAAACUUUCCAGAUUUAAUUUCUGAUCUGGAAACUAGCAAUAGGAAUAAGCCACAAAAACAAAAAGUCUUUAGUUUAGGGUCCUCGAUAACAGGAAUCUUGAGACCAAAAAGUGAGAACAUCUGAUUCUCUAUAACACGAUUAUCGAGUCCCCUAGACUCCAGCCAUAGUAUUUACCUCUCAUCAUGACUCCAGAGAGAACACCUCUGUCCUCUUGGCAAUUGCUUUGUACAUUCAGUGCUGUAGCAGAAGAAAAGGAAAGAGAAAGAAAAGCAGUAAAGGCCUCAGAGAAGUCUACCUGUUCAGAACAGCUUUCUGUCCCUUCCGAGGCUUCGACACCUGAACUGUGUUAAUCUGUAAAUCACUGUUUCUGAAAAAUUUCCUUGGCAUAAAUCACUUAGGCACCUCAAAUCCUCUUUGCAAUGUUGGGCAUGAACAGAUAAUAAUUGUUCUGGAAUUGGGUAGAAAAUGUCUUCUCUAAGAGGAGUAUUUCUCUUGGAGAAAUGUUUUUCUUUAAGAGGUCCCACUAGGCUGAAUUCUAAGAAUGACCCCCAAUGGCCCUUGCCUUUGUAUAAUCCCCACGCCUUUGAAUGUGGGGUGGAACCCGUGAAUCUGAUAAGAUAAUGCACCUGUGAUACAUUAUACAGCAACAUGAGAUGAUCCAGGUGGGCCCAAUGUAAUCUCAAGAGCCCUUUAAAAGCGGAGAAUUUUUUUCCUGCUGGUAGCGGAAGAGAAAGAGCUAUUUGAAGAGUGAGAAAGAUUCGAUGUUCUACUGCUGGAGGGGGCUCCGUGCCAAGCAUGUGGGCUCCUUGUAGCGGCUGAGACCGACUCUUGGUUGACAGCCAGCAAGAAUUGAGGAUUUCAGUCCGUCAACCACAAGUAACUGAAUUCUGCUAACAACCUAAAAGAGCUUGGAAGUAGAUUCUUCCUUGGAGCGUCCAGGUAAGAGUCCAUUCUGUCCAACACCUUAAUUUCUCUCUGUGAAACCCUAAGUGAAACUUGGGAACGCAUCCAAGCCCACCUGGACUUCUGAUCUUUAGAACUGCGAGCUGAAUUGUUGUUAUUGAAAAAAGAGUAAUAAAUUAAAAACAAAAUUGUAAUAUUAUUACGUUUUUAUGACAUCUUAUUACAUUAAACUGUUAGGUUUAUGGUAAUUUGUUAAGCAACAAGAGGAAACGAAUGCAGAGGAAAACAGAAUAUAUUUUGAAAUUGAGGUACCAGUCACAUAAGAUUGGCCAUUAACCGUAUUUGUGUGAACAGCUCAGUGGCAUUAGUACAUUCACAGUGUUGUGUAACCAUCAUCGCACCGAGUUCUAAGACAUUUCCCCACUCCAGAAUGAAACUUGUAGCCAUUAAGCAAUUGCUCCCCCUUCCCUUCCCCCUCCCCUGGCAAACAUUUAUGUGUUUUCUGUUUCUAUAGAAUUACCUAUUCUGGAUGUUUCAUACAAAAAGAAUCCUACAAUAUGCGA